rnacentral:rRNA from 1 species
CCUCAGUGUCAGUAUCAGUCCAGGUGGUCGCCUUCGCCACUGGUGUUCCUUCCUAUAUCUACGCAUUUCACCGCUACACAGGAAAUUCCACCACCCUCUACCAUACUCUAGUCAGUCAGUUUUGAAUGCAGUUCCCAGGUUGAGCCCGGGGAUUUCACAUCCAACUUAACUAACCACCUACGCGCGCUUUACGCCCAGUAAUUCCGAUUAACGCUUGCACCCUCUGUAUUACCGCGGCUGCUGGCACAGAGUUAGCCGGUGCUUAUUCUGUCGGUAACGUCAAAAUUGCAGAGUAUUAAUCUACAACCCUUCCUCCCAACUUAAAGUGCUUUACAAUCCGAAGACCUUCUUCACACACGCGGCAUGGCUGGAUCAGGCUUUCGCCCAUUGUCCAAUAUUCCCCACUGCUGCCUCCCGUAGGAGUCUGGACCGUGUCUCAGUUCCAGUGUGACUGAUCAUCCUCUCAGACCAGUUACGGAUCGUCGCCUUGGUGAGCCAUUACCCCACCAACUAGCUAAUCCGACCUAGGCUCAUCUGAUAGCGCAAGGCCCGAAGGUCCCCUGCUUUCUCCCGUAGGACGUAUGCGGUAUUAGCGUCCGUUUCCGAACGUUAUCCCCCACUACCAGGCAGAUUCCUAGGCAUUACUCACCCGUCCGCCGCUCUCAAGAGAAGCAAGCUUCUCUCUACCGCUCGACUUGCAUGUGUUAGGCCUGCCGCCAGCGUUCAAU